rnacentral:misc_RNA from 1 species
CACGCAUACACGCACACAAAUAAAAGAUAGGGUUUACAAAAGCCCUAUUCGUGUUUUUCAAUUAUAGAAUUCCGAGUGCUGUUAGUGAAACCAUGGCACAGUCUGUUUCCAUUGGUGCCGACCACAGGCUGGAGGCUACCACCUCAGACUGCGUCAGUUCCGUUCGCUUUUCCCCAAAAGAAUGCCCAAUGCUCAUGACCGGCGUUGCCUCGUGGGACGGGACUUGCUCUAUUUGGCAGGUUGCGCGGAACCCUGCUGGGGCGGUCAUAUCUCAGCCAACUUGGACAACAACACACGACAGUCCUUUACUUACUAUGUCCUUGUCUGCGGACGGGCGCGUCUUUUUCGGAGGAUGCUCAAAGACUGCGGUUAUGUGGGACCUGAACUCAAAUCAGAAGGCUGUCGUCGCAUCACAUGAUUUGCCAAUUAGCUGCCUCGAUUUCCUGUCUCUUCCUCAGACCAUGAGCCAAAUGCUCAUCACCGGAAGCUGGGACGGCAAGCUGCGCUGGUGGGACCUGAGGCAGCAAAGCUACGUGAGGGAGGAAAACCUGGGUGAGCCUGUGUUCGCGCUCGAUGCGCAAAAAACGGUGCCGAUGAUGGCUGCCGCAACAGGUCGACUGGCUCACGUGUAUGACGUGCAACAAAUGCAGAAGGUCAACGAACUCAAGCUUCCCGACGUCAUGAAAUUCAACCUCCGCUGCAUCACAUGCGCUCCACAGUACGACGGUGUCGGAGUCGGAUCCUCGGAAGGACGCGUCUCCUUUAUCAGCAUGAAGGACGCGCCAGGGUGCACAUUCAAGGCUCACAUUACCACAGAAAAGUCUCACUACAUUCUGAGCCAGACCAAUUUUUGCGUGCAUCACCCUACGUUGCCACUCCUCCUGUCCGGUGGCGGCGAUGGUAAUUUGACAGUUAUCAACCGCGCCGAUCGAAAAGUCAUAAAAACGCUUCAAUGCGAGCAAAAAGUAGGCACACAAGCAAUUCCAAUCUCAGCUGGCGACAUAAGCGCAGAUGGGUCUCUUGUUGCCUAUGCGCAUAGCUAUGACUGGGCCAUGGGGAAGAGUGGUUACAGAAACCAACCUACCUCGGUGCACAUUCGGCCGCUAUUGUGACAGGCUCCUUUCACACUUCCCUUGGAGCUGCAAUGUGGUCUCACUAGCUUUCAAUUCACUGUCUGAAUUUUUUCCGUUCUUCUGUGUAUACGGUGCAGGCGGUUGAUUGUGUUUCGUAACGCUUGGCAUUUUCGACUCUGAGAUUUCAGACCUCCGUCGUCGAGAAAAAAAAAACUCUUUUCUUGCGUCGCUAGUGGCCCUCCUUGCCCCUCCAAUCCGGGGUGCACGCCGGAAAACAAGCCUCGUUCAUGGCAGAUAGCUCCCUAUAUUUCACGUCCUCGGAAGUGUAUCUCACUUCCCAUUUUCUCCACAUGAUCUCUCUUCCCUCACUCUCUCUCAUUACACGAAUGUGUCAUUUUUGAAUUGGGAACCUUUUUUUUUUUUGCCACACACAUACGCUUAG